AUACGUAGGGGGCGAGCGUUGUCCGGAAUGAUUGGGCGUAAAGGGCGCGUAGGCGGCCCGGUAAGUCUGGAGUGAAAGUCCUGUUUUUAAGAUGGGAAUUGCUUUGGAUACUGUCGGGCUUGAGUGCAGGAGAGGUAAGUGGAAUUCCCAGUGUAGCGGUGAAAUGCGUAGAGAUCGGGAGGAACACCAGUGGCGAAGGCGGGUAACUGGACUGCAACUGACGCUGAGGCGCGAAAGUGUGGGGAGCAAACAGGAUUAGAUACCCUGGUAGUCCACACUGUAAACGAUGAAUGCUAGGUUUAAGAGGUAGCGACCCCUUUUGUGCCGGAGUCAACACAAUAAGCAUUCCGCCUGGGGAGUUCGGCCGCAAGGUUGAAACUCAAAUGAAUUGACGGGG
rnacentral:rRNA from 1 species